GAUGAAGAACGCAGCGAAAUGCGAUAAGUAAUGUGAAUUGCAGAAUUCAGUGAAUCAUCGAAUCUUUGAACGCACAUUGCGCCCGCCAGUAUUCUGGCGGGCAUGCCUGUUUGAGCGUCAUUUCAACCAUCAAGCCCCCGGCUUGUGUUGGGGACCUGCGGCUGCCGCAGGCCCUGAAAACCAGUGGCGGGCUCGCUAGUCACUCCGAGCGUAGUAAUACAUCUCGCUCAGGGCGUGCUGCGGGUUCCGGCCGUUAAAAAGCCUUAUUUACCCAAGGUUGACCUCGGAUCAGGUAGGAAGACCCGCUGAACUUAAGCAUAUCAAUAAGCGGAGGA
rnacentral:misc_RNA from 1 species